GGGCCCGUAGCUUAGUCUGGUUGGAGCAUCCGGCUGAUAACCGGAAGGUCGCCCGUUCGAAUCGGGUCGGGCCCACCA
rnacentral:tRNA from 5 species